rnacentral:rRNA from 1 species
CCUACGGGCGGCAGCAGUGAGGAAUAUUGGUCAAUGGACGCAAGUCUGAACCAGCCAUGCCGCGUGCAGGAAGACGGCUCUAUGAGUUGUAAACUGCUUUUGUACGAGGGUAAACGCAGAUACGCGUAUCUGUCUGAAAGUAUCGUACGAAUAAGGAUCGGCUAACUCCGUGCCAGCAGCCGCGGUAAUACGGAGGAUUCAAGCGUUAUCCGGAUUUAUUGGGUUUAAAGGGUGCGUAGGCGGUCGGAUAAGUUAGAGGUGAAAUCCCGAGGCUCAACUUCGGAAUUGCCUCUGAUACUGUUCGGCGAGAGAGUAGUUGCGGUAGGCGGAAUGUAUGGUGUAGCGGUGAAAUGCUUAGAGAGCAUACAGAACACCGAUUGCGAAGGCAGCUUACCAAGCUACUUCUGACGUUGAGGCACGAAAGCGUGGGGAGCAAACAGGGUUAGAUACCCCAGUAGUC